rnacentral:rRNA from 1 species
CCUACGGGUGGCAGCAGUGAGGAAUAUUGGUCAAUGGACGCAAGUCUGAACCAGCAAUGCCGCGUGCAGGAAGACGGCUCUCUGAGUUGUAAAUUGCUUUUGUACGAGGGUAAAUCACGAUAUGUGUAUCGGGUAGAUCGUAUCUAACGAAGAAGGAUCGGCUACCUCCGUACCAGAAGCCGCGGUAAUACGGAGGAUUCAAGCGUUAUCCGGAUUUAUUGGGUGUAAAGGGAGUGUAGGCGGUACGAUAAGUGAGAAGUGAAAGCCCGGGGCUCAAAACUGGCACUCCCUCUGAUACUGUCGGGCUAGAGUUUAGUUGAGGUAGGCGGAAUGUAUUGUGUAGCGGUGAAAUGCAUAGAGAGCAUACAGAACACCGAUUGCGAAGGCAGCUGACCAAACGACGACUGACGUUGAGGCACGAAAGCGUGGGGAGCAAACAGGAUUAGAUACCCUUGUAGUC